AGUGGAGUUACAACUCUGGCAGCACAGGGGUUAAUCUCCAUAUGGCCAGUGUUUCAUAGAGAAAUUGAAGUAACCCUUUAAUUACCAGCAACAAGCUCUUCCCUUGUCCAAUGGGAGGCCUGUGCAAACCAUGAAUAAUUAAAAAAAUAUCUACAUAAAAAUUAACUUACAUGAGACAAUACAUUUGCAAACUUAGAAAAAUGUAGAUAAAUAAUUUGAUUAUAAAUUGGUACUGGUGAAAAAUAUAAAAAUAGUAAUAUAGUAAUU